rnacentral:rRNA from 1 species
CCCUUAGAUGUUCUGGGCGGCCCGCGCACUACAAUGGCGUGUGCAGCGAGUGCCGAAGUAGAGUUUUCCGAGGUAUUCUUGCAAUGCUCGUUUUGAUGGGGAUAGACCCUUGCAACUGUUGGUUUUGAACGAGGAAUUCCUUGUAAGCAUGGUUUAUCAUCCGACGCUGAAUGCGUCCCUGCCCUUUGUACACACCGCCCGUCGCUCCUACCGAUGAAUCGUCCGGUGAAGUUCAUGGAGUGGUGGUUGUUCCAGCUGCUGUCGAAGUGAAAUGGACCUCACGAUUUAGAGGAAGGAGAAGUCGUAACA